rnacentral:rRNA from 1 species
CCUACGGGUGGCAGCAGUGAGGAAUAUUGGUCAAUGGGCGCGAGCCUGAACCAGCCAAGUAGCGUGAAGGAUGACUGCCCUACGGGUUGUAAACUUCUUUUAUAAAGGAAUAAAGUGAGGCACGUGUGCCUUUUUGUAUGUACUUUAUGAAUAAGGAUCGGCUAACUCCGUGCCAGCAGCCGCGGUAAUACGGAGGAUCCGAGCGUUAUCCGGAUUUAUUGGGUUUAAAGGGAGCGUAGAUGGGUUGUUAAGUCAGUUGUGCAAGUUGGCGGCUCAACCGGAAAAUUGCAAUUGAUACUGGCAGUCUUGCGUACAGUUGCGGUAGGCGUCAUUCGUGGUGUAGCUGU